rfam:Niastella vici strain DJ57 contig3, whole genome shotgun sequence.
CCGGAGGAUGCCGAAAAUCCGUUACAGAGUAGGCA